rfam:Firmicutes bacterium CAG:110 genomic scaffold, scf83
UCGCUUGAUAGAGGCGCGGUACUCAUCAGUACCCUCCGGCAAGGUCGUGCAGCCGCCGAAGGAGAAAGGGAUCACCGCCGAAGUAUGGGAAAUCUGCCCGGGUUUUUCAUGCUGGGUCGUCAGAGAACAUCUGCCGGACUGUCACAAAAAUCUUUGUGAAGCGCUAUCAUUGGC